UACGUAGGGGGCUAGCGUUGUCCGGAAUCAUUGGGCGUAAAGCGCGUGUAGGCGGUCCGGUAAGUCCGCUGUGAAAGUCGAGGGCUCAACCCUCGAAUGCCGGUGGAUACUGUCGGGCUAGAGUACGGAAGAGGCGAGUGGAAUUCCUGGUGUAGCGGUGAAAUGCGUAGAUAUCGAGAGGAACACCUGCGGCGAAGGCGGGUUGCUGGGCUGAUACUGACGCUGAGGCGCGAAAGCCAGGGGAGCGAACGGG
rnacentral:rRNA from 1 species